rnacentral:rRNA from 1 species
UACGUAGGGGGCAAGCGCUGUCCGGAUUUACUGGGCGUAAAGGGUGUGCAGGCGGACUGGCAUGUCGAUGGUGAAAGCUCUCGGCUCAACCGAGAAAGGGCUGUCGAAACUACCAGUCUUGAGGACGGAAGAGGAAACUGGAACUUCUGGUGUAGCGGUAAAAUGCGUAGAUAUCAGAAGGAACGCCGAUAGCGAAGGCAGGUUUCUGGGACGUUCCUGACGCUGAAACACGAAAGCUAGGGGAGCAAACAGGAUUAGAUACCCCCGUA